rnacentral:lncRNA from 1 species
GAGGGUCUCGUUGGUGGCCAUCUUUGGAGGGGCCCGGUGGGGCUUGGUGGCACUCAGCAGGGGCUCCAAGGGGCUCAGCGGGUCUCGGUUGGGCUCGGUUGGGCUCGGUUGGGCUGAGCAGGGCUGAGCAGGGCUGAGCAGGGCUGAGCAGGGCUCAGUGGCACUUGGCUGGGCUCCGAGUGGCUCAGUUGGGCUCGGUUGGGCUCGGUUGGGUUUAGUUGGGCUGAGAAGGGCUCACUGGCUCUUGGCUGGGCUCCGAGUGGCUCAGUUGGGCUCGGUUGGGCUUGGUUGGGUUUAGUUGGGCUGAGAAGGGCUCACUGGCUCUUGGCUGGGCUCCGAGGGGCUCAGCAGGUGUCAGCAGGUCUCAGCCGGCUCAGCAGGCCUCACUGGGACUCGGCUGGUCUCAGUGGGAUCCGGCAGGGCUCAGCGGAGCUCAGGGAAACUUGGCGGGAUUAGGCAGAGCUUGGCAGGGUGGUGGGGACGGACUUGAGCCUGGAAAAGCAAACACAGGUGAUGUACUUGAACCGCUGUACUGAAUGCCCAUUCCAAAGCAGAUGUAAGAGUGUUACAGGGGGGCCCCUGAGAUACGCUGGGGUUCAAGGCCAGAAAGCCGCCUUGUAUAAGUAUAGCAAACUGGCAUAUAGUGGGGUGACUGAUAACAGGGACCACCUGCACACGCGUGUGCGUGCACAUGUAUAGAGACGCCAGUGUCCCAGUAAAUCCAGCCACAGAUAAACCCACACCCAAAAACGACCCCUCCCCUCCUGCCUCCCGCACACAUCCGGCCUGUGAGCAGAACUCCAAAGAUCCUGAGCCGUGGGGUGCAGUGGUGCAUGCUGGGACGCGCCUCGAGGCGGGCGCACUCAGCAGCUAUCCCACGUCUCCCAUCAAACGGACUCCCUCCGUGUGCCCUUCCUGCUGCGUUUCGCAACCCGCUGUGCUUCCGGAGAGAGAGAGAAGCAGAUUUACAGACCCAAGGAGAUCAAGCAGUGAGACUGGAAACAGACCACUAGAUCAGCGCUGGGGGGGGAGGAACAGACCACUAGAUCAGCGCUGGGGGGGGAGGAACAGACCACUAGAUCAGCGCUGGGGGGGAGGAACAGACCACUAGAUCAGCACUGGGGGGGAGGAACAGACAGGCACCCUUCCAUAAACUGGGACAAUAAAAAGCAUGGACAGGAAGCCUGAAAGCUGCCAAGCAGCGAGUCCCCGAGUCCAUAGCUGCGCUCACAGGGCUGGGCUCGCACCCUCAUCCUCAUCCUCCCGGCGCACAGCAGAGGAUCGGGAAGGAUCCUGAUCAAGAUUCCUCACUCAGUUCAUUGCGCCGGCUGGCCUGCUGGUCAGAGAUGAGCGAGAGAGGACCACAGUCCUGUCCAAUACCAACAACAACCCCUCAGGACCCCCAGGACAGGCCAGGAGGCCUCCUGAGCCGGCGGCAGUCUGCGGCGGCCUCUCUACGCACCACAGCCGAUGCCCCCCUGCGCAGGCGGAGCCCAGGAAAAGGACUCAUUUGCUCUGCGGCAUUCAGGGCAUCAAGGGAAUUAAUGAUGUAACCAACACCAGGACUGCAGAGAAACAGCAUUACAUCAGGUAGCCCAUGAUGCCCCACCCCGCCCUCCCUGCCGGAAAGACCUACGCACACAGCAGGCUUCUGUCUGAUCACUGAUCACCGAUCACUAAUCACUAAUCACUGACCAUCAAUCACCGAUCAGAGCUGUCAGCUCAACACACGUGUCUAUGACCCUGCAGAGGCACAGGAGACACAGUGAGAGAGAGGAGAUCACAACAUCUCUCAGGAAUAAACACAUCACAGGACAGGAGACACAGUGAGAGAGAGAGAGGAGAUCACAGAAUAUCCCUCAGUAAUAAACACACAACAGGAGAGGAGACACAGUGAGAGACAGGAGAUCACAGAGAAGCCCUCAGUAAUACACACACACACAACAGGACAGGAGACACAGUGUGAGAGAGGAAAUCACAGAGAAACCCUCAGUAAUAAACACACAAAAUAGGACAGGAGACACAGUGAGAGAGAGAAAGGAAAUCACAGAGAAUCCCUCAGUAACAAACACACACCACAGGACAGGAGACACAGUGAGAGAGAGAGAAAGGAGAUCACAGAGAAGCCCUCAGUAAAACACACACCACAGGACAGGAGACACAGUGAGAGACAGGAGAUCACAGAGAAUCCCUCAGUAAUACACAAACCACAGGACAGGAGACACAGUGAGAAAGAAGAGCUGAAAGAGAAGCCCUCAGUAACAAACACACACCACAGGACAGGAGACACAGUGACACGGAGGAGGUAACAGGAGAACAUUUACUCACGACCUGAUAUUCAAACGACCUUCUUUAAACCCCAAACCUCAUCCUGCAGCUCAGCAAAGCCCCUCCAAGAGCUGGCUCCGGUACGGGGGCGCCCCCCUUCUCCCCAACUCUCGCACCCGACCAGCGGCCUCACCUGAGGCGGUAGAGGCUGCCUGCCUGGCGCUCCGUCGGUCCGUGCGGACGCUCGCGGACAGCGGAGGGGGUCUCCCCGGCCUGCAGCCCCGGCGGGGCCAGACGCUGUGCAGAGCCGCACCCUGCCCCGGCGCGGGGCGAUCAGGAGCAGGAGGGAGGACUGCAGCAUGCAAGCCACAGCACACAGUCUGGAGGGUGAAGUGUGCUCCUCUCUCCCCUCUCUGGGCUCACAGCGAUCUGCUCAGGCCGAGUCGCAGCACGUCUGACUCCCUGACACCACACCCGUCCGCACACGCCCACGCACACACGCGCACAUGCACAAGAGAGCACAAGCCCAGGUACAGAGACAGAACACACACACACUGACACAAGCCCAGGCACAGAGACAGAAUACACACAUACACUGACACAAACCCAGGUACAGAG